rnacentral:rRNA from 1 species
CAGUAGCCGCGGUAAUACGUAGGUGGCAAGCGUUGUCCGGAAUUAUUGGGCGUAAAGGGCUCGCAGGCGGUUUCUUAAGUCUGAUGUGAAAGCCCCCGGCUCAACCGGGGAGGGUCAUUGGAAACUGGGAAACUUGAGUGCAGAAGAGGGAGUGGAAUUCCACGUGUAGCGGUGAAAUGCGUAGAGAUGUGGAGGAACACCAGUGGCGAAGGCGACUCUCUGGUCUGUAACUGACGCUGAGGAGCGAAAGCGUGGGGAGCGAACAGGAUUAGAUACCCCUGUAGUCCCUGUCUCUUAUACA